rnacentral:tRNA from 1 species
AUUUAUUUAGUAUACAAGUAUAGUUGACUUCCAAUCAAAAGGACUGAAUAUAAUUCAGAAUAAAUA